CUUUAAAAAUCUGGAUCAAGCUGAAAAUUGAAACGACACACAGUUAAUGUGUGUUCGAGUCUCUCAAAUUUUCGCGACACGACGAUGUUUUACGAAACAUCUUCGG
rnacentral:sRNA from 1 species